CCCCAAAAAUUCACCCCAAAAUUUACCUGCAGACCCCAAAAAUGCACCCCAAAAUUCAUCCCUGGAGACCCCAAAAAUUCACCCCCAAAAUCCCAAAUUCACCCCAAAAUUCUCACCUGAAACACCAAAAAUUCACCUGGAGACCCCAAAAUUCACCUGAAAAUCCCAAAAAUUCAACCCAAAAUUCACCCCAAGAUUCACCUGGAGACCCCAAAAAUUCACCCCAAGAUUCACCUGAAAAUCCCAAAAAUUCAACCCAAAAUUCACCCCAAGAUUCACCUGGAGACCUCAAAAUUCACACCUGGAAACCCCAAAUUCACCCCAAAAUUCACCUGGACACCCCAAAAUUCACCUGGAGACCCCAGAAAAAUCCCAUUUUUUCGUCUAUAAAUCCCUUUUUUUUCCCCAUUAAAAUCCCAUUUUUUCUUCUAAAAAUCCCAUUUUUGGCCCUAAAAAUCCCAUUUUUUGGUCUAAAAAUCCCAUUUUUUUGCCUAAAAACCCCAUUUUUUCACCCAAAAUUUUGGGUUUUUUUCCCUAAAUCCCCAUUUUUUGCCCCAAACCCACAGAUUUUCGGGUUUCUGUGCGUCCCACUCCCUCCUCCAGGCCCCCUUGGGGUCCCGGUGUCUCUGGAGCCGCUCGCGGUCGAUCCGUUCCCGUUCCCGUCCCCAAAUCCCAAAAUCCCAUUUUUUGGGUCUAAAAAUCCCAUUUUUUCCCACUAAAAUCCCAUUUUUUCCUUCUAAAAAUCCCAUUUUUGGCCCUAAAAAUCCCAUUUUUUGGUCUAAAAAUCCCAUUUUUUUGCCUAAAAACCCCAUUUUUUUUGCCCAAAAUCCCAUUUUUUUUUCCCUAAAUCCCCAUUUUUUGCCCCAAACCCACAGAUUUUCGGGUUUCUGUGCGUCCCACUCCCUCCUCCAGGCCCCCUUGGGGUCCCGGUGUCUCUGGAGCCGCUCGCGGUCGAUCCGUUCCCGUUCCCGUUUCCAGCGCUCGUACUCCGCCCGCUGCCGCCCCGUCAUCCACAGCGUGGGGUCCAGGGGGGCCGACCGACCGACCGACCGCCGCCGACCG
ensembl:lncRNA